UACGUAGGUGGCAAGCGUUGUCCGGAAUUAUUGGGCGUAAAGCGCGCGCAGGCGGUCUCUUAAGUCUGAUGUGAAAGCCCACGGCUCAACCGUGGAUGGUCAUUGGAAACUGGGGGACUUGAGUACAGAAGAGGAGAGUGGAAUUCCACGUGUAGCGGUGAAAUGCGUAGAUAUGUGGAGGAACACCAGUGGCGAAGGCGGCUCUCUGGUCUGUAACUGACGCUGAGGCGCGAAAGCGUGGGUAGCAAACAGG
rnacentral:rRNA from 1 species